AGUGAACGCUGGCGGUAGGCCUAACACAUGCAAGUCGAACGGCAGCACAGUAAGAGCUUGCCCUUACGGGUGGCGAGUGGCGGACGGGUGAGGAAUACAUCGGCAUCUACUUUUUCGUGGGGGAUAACGUAGGGAAACUUACGCUAAUACCGCAUACGUCCUACGGGUGAAAGCAGGGGAUCUUCGGACUUUGCGCGAUUGAAUGAGCCGAUGUCGGAUUAGCUAGUUGGCGGGGUAAAGGCCCACCAAGGCGACGAUCCGUAGCUGGUCUGAGAGGAUGAUCAGCCACACUGGAACUGAGACACGGUCCAGACUCCUACGGGAGGCAGCAGUGGGGAAUAUUGCACAAUGGGCGCAAGCCUGAUCCAGCCAUACCGCGUGGGUGAAGAAGGCCUUCGGGUUGUAAAGCUCUUUUGUUGGGAAAGAAAAGCAGCAGAUUAAUACCCCGCUGUUCUGACGGUACCCAAAGAGUAAGCACCGGCUAACUUCGUG
rnacentral:rRNA from 1 species